rnacentral:rRNA from 1 species
CCCCAGUAACGGCGAGUGAAGCGGGAACGGCUCAAAUUUGAAAUCUCCGGCGCCUGCGCCGGCGAGUUGUAGUUGCGAGAAGCACUUUCUCGGCGGAUCGGACGCGCCCAAGUUGCUUGGAACAGUACGUCGCAGAGGGUGACAACCCCGUCCGCGGCGCGUCCGGCCGCCCACGAUGCGCUUUCGAAGAGUCGGGUUGUUUGGGAAUGCAGCCCAAAACGGGGGUAAACUCCAUCUAAAGCUAAAUA